rnacentral:lncRNA from 1 species
UAAUCAAGCUCAAGAAUUGUCUAUAAAUAAGGAUGUAUGUGCACAUUUUUAUUUUUGAACAAUAAAAAAAUUCCAGAUCCACAAUAUUUUCUCUGAGAUUUUCUCAGUAUCCAAACAGCUGAGCUUUUGUUUUCUUUCAAAAGGUUUAACACUAAAGAAGAGAUAAUGGAGAGCAAAAAACCAACUCUCACAGCCACGGCAACAGAGCGAAGGCAGCACAACCUUCCUCAGAACAUGCUUCAAUGGACUCAAUGUCGUUUCAGGCCUUUAUCUCACGGUCGCUCUCAAGUAACAAUUAAUUAAACAAACUUCAUGUCUAAGCUUUUUAGAAGAAUCUUAUUGAAAGCAAUCUAUCAGUAUCCUCUCUUACAAGCAUUUGAGUUGAACUUUCUGUUGUUGCAGUAUCUUGUCAUUCAUAAAUCAACUCGCCGUUCAGGUUUUUAAGAAAGUAGUGAUGCCUCUAUUUUUUUUUUUUUUUUCCAUGAUCACGACGAUUCCAUUACUGGAUUAGCGAUCGAGUAUCUUCUUCCAGUCGCGUAAGUCAUAAACUUCUGCUUCAAGCGAAGCCGUUUUUGAUCCAUCAACUUCAUUUUUGGACUCAUAUUUGUCUUCGUAAAAGUAAUCUGCUUUUGCUAACAUGUACGUAGGACAUCGAUCUUAUGCUUUUCCUUCUAUGUUGUAGAAUCUGAAACAACUGAAAAUUAUACUUGGUUGCUUACUUUUUUAAGUCCAACACCAAGUUGAUCAAAGAUUAUCUGACUUUCUAAUUAAGGAAUUGCACGAAAUUCAUAUUUUUUCGUGUUAAAGAUUCACAAGAUUGGCACGGUGAAAAUAAUGAAGGACAAAUAAAUUGGUUUCCAUAUUUGCCAGGUGUUGGGGAUACUAUCAAUUCCCUGUGCAUUUUUUUUUUUUUUUUUUUUUUGGGUUUUUUUUUUUUUUUUUUUUUUUUUGGGGCAAGAAAGACGAGCCUAGCACAAGCUAAGGGUUAACAAUAAGGGGGAAAGCAGUCCCUAAAACAGUCCAUAUCCGUAAUGAUGUACCAAACCUUUUCCAAAAAUUCAAACCAUAUAGUUAAAGAAGAAAUCACACAUGGCACUGAUACUACAUAUUACACACACACAGAUAUAUAUAUAUAUAUAUAAAGAUAAUUAACAAACAAACAAACAUCAAUACGUACCUACACAGAUAUUUCAGGUAUCAAAUAAUAAGCUUUAUUUAAUUGAUAACAUACAAAUUUAUGAUUUUAAUACAUUGGAAACUAUUUUUUAGUUAAUUGUAGCAUUCUCACUUUAUUAAAAUGAGUAUAUCGUCAUACUCUCUCUCUCUAUAUAUAUAGUCGAAUAUCUAGUGAAAGUAUCAUCACUUUGUUAAAAUGAGUUGUGUUUUAACUGACCUAAAUUUGACACAACAAAAACACAACCCAUGACCGAUUUUACCAGAUCUAAUUAUGAGAAAUUUUAUUUUUAUUUUUAUUGGACUUUAGUUCAUACUUUAAAUUUUGGCAUGUUGGAUUAUAUUGAAUUUUAAUUGUAGAUUGAUAAUUUAGCUGUGGUUGCUAUUAGAUAUAAUAUUAAAAAAAAAAACUGACAUUAUAUUUAUUUGUCUUCGGUCUGAUUCAUUUACUGCCCUAUGUAACACGCUUUUGCAUAUCGCAUGUAUAACUUGUGAAUAUAUUUAGAUUUAUAAUAGAUUCAAAUAUCAGAAUACACCUAGUUCGCUCGGUGUUUCAAUAAUUCAUUUUGUAAUCAUACAUCAUAGAAUCUUUGACCCAUUUGCAACUUUAAAUUUUGUGACAUUAACAUUAUAGCAAACGGCCGGCGGUUCUUCUUCCUGGCAAAUUGCAGUAAUAAAUGUCAUUUUCCUAAAAUCAUAGAAGUAGGCUACAGCAAGUUUGGCCAUUUAUUGUGUUCAAACUAAUCGAAAGAUCCCCAGAAAACUUCUUAUGUUCAAACACUUUGUUCAAAUUUUGGUCCAAUUACGUCAAAACUGCUCACUGUCAAUGAGGAAGACUAGUAACCUGAGAGGUUAUUAUUGGAUAGAAUUCAUUUAACAGCCAAAUCUACGCCUACCUCUUGGGUUAGGUAUUCUGAAAUUUGUUUUGUAGUGAAAUUGCUGUUAGAUUUUAGCCAACGAAAAGAAAAAAACUAUUCGUUAUGCCAAAUUUAAACAUUUUGUAUUCUAUUCAACAACUCCUUGAUUGGUUAGAUAGGUAUUUUUUUCUCCUUAACUAUUAAGGUAAAAUGUUUUGAGUCUCCCUGCUACUAACUGUAAGAGUGUUUUCUUUGAAUUUGAUAUGCUGGCUUUUGAUUGAACAUGUAUACUAUGUUGGGAUUUGAUUUUAUUAUAUGUAAUAUUAAAAAUAUUUUGUAUCCUGCUAUUAGAUAAGAGUGUUUUGUUACAAUAGAUCCUCGUAAAUAGAAAAUGAGGAUGAUUUAGUUUAUUUUUUUAAAAUUUAUUAUAAAGAUCUGAUCAUAUUUCUAUGUUGUAAUAUAUCUUCGCAAACAUAGAAAUGAGAUACUUAUUUUUCUUUUUUAAAUUUAGUAUAAUGAUACGAUGAGACUGUCGUGUCAUGGUGGAUCUACAUGAAUACAAAAUAAUGGUAUUUUAUUAUUAUUUUUAAUUAAUUAUAGUGAUUUGACAAGACUGUCUUGUCAAAUCACAGUAGAUCAUAAAAAAUAAAAGUGUGUGAUUGAUUUUUUUCAACGACUAUCAUGACUCAAAUAAUAAACUGCAACACUAAAGUCAAAAGUAGAUCAUCAUAAACAAAGAAAUUAUUAAAGUUAUCCAUAAUAUUAGGGAAUGGACAUGUUAUUGGAAAGUGAGUGCCAACUGGUUAAGUUGGUAGAAUCUGGCAUGUUAAAAACACAAGGACUGAAAUUUGAAUAAGUCUCCAAGUCUCCAUGUGGUUCAUUAAACAACAGUCGUAGAAUAUAUAUCCUGGAGUUCUGCUGAUGUACUUAAUUGUUUCCAUUUUUCCUAGCAAUUUGUAUCUUGAAUAACAAAGAUAAAAAAACUUAAAGAAAGAAAAGUGGUCAAAAAUUAUCAUAUAGUAUUAUUAAAUUUGUUUGCACAGGAUAGGCGGCAUGAGAUUCAAGUGUGGAAAAACUGCAAAAAGCGGUGACAAGAGGACUAAAUACUCGGUGAUUAAAACUAUAGGGGGCUCGGUUAAUUACUCAGUUCCUUAAGUUUUGUUGGAAUAAAAAUGUUUUUAUGUGGCUGGUAGAUUGAGAUGCUGAUAAAAAUCCUAAAUAGUGCAAAAGGGUUGGUCGUUUUCCGGCGUAAAGACCUUGGUAUGUUGAAACUUUACAGACGCGCCAGGCCAGAUCCUUAACAAACACUUUCUUAGCAUUCUAAGUUAUAUACAAAUGUCAAUUUCAUUUAGGGUCAGUUUUAUUGUAACUUUAAAAAUAAUUGUUGUUGUUACCUGUGUUUUUUUUUUAAAUAAUUAAUUGUGAAGAGAAUCAAUUAAACGUUGGAUAUAAUUUAUUUUUAAAAGUGUCAUGAGUUUUAAAAGCAGUUGUAUUUGUUUGAUAAAUGUUGUUGUUAAAAUAUCAAAAAAAAUAUAAAUAAUUGAUUGGACAUAAUAUUGAAUAAAAUUUAUUUAUCAAUUUAUAAAUAUGUAUAUAAAAUAUUUUUAAUUGUGUAUAUAUAAAAAUUAAUAAUUAAAAUAAAUAUUUUAUAUCAUUAAUUUUAUUUUUUAUCUCGAUAUAAUUAGUAAUAAUAAUAAUCUCUUUAAUGUUAAUGAUUUUAUUUAUAAAUUAGUAAAGAUAAUUUUCAAUUCCUAUAAUAUAUUUGAUGAUAUAUAUGAAAUUAUAUUAAGUAUAAAAGUUAUUCUCAAAAUUAGAUUUUGAAAAGGUAUUCUUUCUCAACUUUUUCAAAAUCACUUUUUCAAAAUCUAGUGCUGAAUAUAGUGACUUUGUCAAAAGAGAUUUUUCAAAAAAUUUAUUAAAUAUUGAAAUUAGCUUUUAACUUUUUAAAAUCACUUUUAAGUCUCUCAAAAGAAAUUCCAAACAGACCCUUAGUAUUUCAACAAAUUAAGCAAAGCAUCAAUCAUCACAAAAUACCCCAACUAUUUUUAUAUAAACUUGGCAUAAAUAAUUGUAAUUAACGUGCGUUAAAUCCGUUUCUAAUUAAUUAGAUAAAUAAAUAAAUUGAUUAAACUUCUGUACAUAUAACGCAUGCACGUGGACCACAUACUUCAUGCUUUGGAGCAAGCAACGCCGCAUCCAUUUCUUACGUUGGCCUUUUUGUUUGUGGAUAUAUAUAUUUUCAAAAAUUAUUAUUAUUAUUAUUUAAUUUCUCACUCUUACUUUUUAUCUCA